rnacentral:rRNA from 1 species
AGCGAACGCUGGCGGCGUGCUUAACACAUGCAAGUCGAGUGCGCGGUUCGUAGCAAUACGAACUGGCGCACGGCGCACGGGUGAGGAACACGCGGGCAACAUGCCCUCCGAUGGGGAAUAACCCGCCGAAAGGCGGGCUAAUACCGCAUACGAUUCCGGGGACCUCGGUUCCUGGACUGAAAGCCCGCAAGGGCGUCGGUGGAGUGGCCCGCGGCCGAUUAGCUUGUUGGCGGGGUAACGGCCCACCAAGGCAAUGAUCGGUAGCCGGUCUGAGAGGAUGAUCGGCCACACUGGAACUGAGACACGGUCCAGACUCCUAUGGGAGGCAGCAGUGGGGAAUCUUGCGCAAUGGGCGAAAGCCUGACGCAGCGACGCCGCGUGGGGAUGAAGGUCUUCGGAUUGUAAACCCCUUUCGGGAGGGAAGAUGGAACGAGCAAUCGUUCGGACGGUACCUCCAGAAGCAGCCACGGCUAACUUCGUGCCAGCAGCCGCAAGU